UACGGGGGGGGGCGAGCGUUGUCCGGAAUCACUGGGCGUAAAGGGCGCGUAGGUGGCGUGAUAAGGGUGUGGUGAAAGCCCGGGGCUCAACCCCCGGGUCUGCCAUGCCGACUGUCAGGCUCGAGUGCUGUAGGGGCAGGCGGAAUUCCGGGUGUAGCGGUGGAAUGCGUAGAUAUCGUAAGGAAGACCAGUGGCGAAGGCGGAUCUCUGGACAGUUACUGACACUGAGGCACGAAGGCCAGGGGAGCAAACGGG
rnacentral:rRNA from 1 species